UACCAAAGUUCACCCUUGGCAGGGAGAUGAAGGGAAUUAGGGAGGGCUAUUUUAGCAAUUAGUGAUGUAUGGAAGUGAGAAGUGAGAGCUGGACCAUAAAGAAGGCUGAUUGCCGAAGAAUUGAUGCUUUUGAAUUAUGGUGCUGGAGGAGACUCUUGAGAGUCCCAUGGACUGCAAGAAGAUCAACCUAUCCAUUCUGAAGGAAAUCAGCCCUGAGUGCUCACUAGAAGGACAGAUCCUGAAGCUGAGGCUCCAAGACUUUGACCACCUCAUGAGAAGAGAAGACUCCCUGGAAAAGACCCUGAUGUUGGGAAAGAUGGAGGGCACAAGGAGAAGGGGACGACAGAGGACGAGAUGGUGGGACAGUGUUCUCAAAGCUACCAGCAUGAGUUUGACUAAACUGCGGGAGGCAGUGGAAGACAGGAGUGCCUGGCGUGCUCUGGUCCAGGGGAUCACAAAGAGUUGGACACGACUAAACAACAACAACAACAUAAUGCAGCCACUGUAGUGCACCCACUGGCUUUUAACUAAAGAAAAAUCUGAAUUGAUCAGUUCCUGAAAGAUAAAUGAAAGUCUUGCUUCAGCUUCAGCUUCUGAGCAAAGGGGAGAUCCCAGUGUCAGACUAGGACCAGGGUUUCAAAUCCCUGUUCUGCCACGAAGCCUGCUGGGUGACCUUGGGCCAGCUACUCUUGGCCCCAACCUACCUCACAGGGUUGUUGAACAUUCAGUGAGGAGGUGGAGAACCACCUUAAGCUCCUCGGACGAAAAAGGUGGGUUUAUAAUUUAAGUCGAUCCAUCACAGACUAUUAGGCUCCCCUGAAGGGGACGACAGAGGACGAGAUGGUGGGACAGUGUUCUCGAAGCUACCAGCAUGAGUCUGACCAAACUGCGGGAGGCAGUGGAAGACAGAAGUGCCUGGCGUGAUCUGGUCCAUGGGGUCACGAAGAGUCGGACAUGACUAAACGACUCAACAACAACAACAUUUUAGCAAUGGGAGGCAGAAGGAGAUACUCCAGUGGGAGACAGCUUGGUCACUGCUGCAGAGAAAGGGACUUCUGUCAUGUCUUGGCUCCUCCCUCGGCUGGGUUGUCCCUGAAGUCAGUGAGCCUGGUCAGUGAGCCUCUGCGUUGAAGGAUACUGCUGCUGAACGCUGCUGGGUCGCUGAAUGGAAAAACAACAGCCCCUCAGGUUUUUAUCCAGAGUGAGCCUGCUGACUAGGCCUGUAUUAUGGAGGCUGAGUACUCUUGAUCUGCAGGAACUGCUCACCUCCCAGGGUUUGUAAGAGUGAGGUAUAUGCAUGAGGAAAGGAGAGAAAGAGAGGGUGCUGUCUGCCUCCAUGUAUGUAUGUGGAGUGUGUUGUGCUGCUGCUGUAAACAAAAUCUGCCCUUUUUCCCUUAUGGGGUAUCCAAGAGCCCGUAUAGAGUCCUUACGUGGGUUCCCUAUUGGUAGGAGAAAAUAACAGAGGCCAACCAGAGAAUAGGUAAAGGGUAAAGGGACCCCUGACCAAUAGGUCCAGUCGUGGCCGACUCUGGGGUUGUGAGGCCCAUCUCGCUUUAUUGGCUGAGGGAGCCAGCAUACAGCUUCCGGGUCUUGUGGCCAGCAUGACUAAGCCACUUCUGGCGAAACAGAGCAGCGCACGCAAACGCCGUUUACCUUCCCGCCGGAGCAGUACCUAUUUAUCUACUUGCACUUUGACUUGCUUUCGAACUGCUAGGUUGGCAGGAGCAGGGACCGAGGAACGGGAACUCACCCCGUCGCAGGGAUUCGCACCGCCGACCUUCUGAUUGGCAAGUCCUAGGCUCUGUGGUUUAACCCACAGUGCCACUCUGUCUCCCUUAGCCUGGCACUUGAUGGUGGGCAACAGAGUCCUGAGUGAGGUUCUUUGAAGGCUACUCCAACAACCAGAAUAAGUUUCCAUCAUCCUCACCACUCACCACUUGGUUUUUCGCCUACCUCAUAGCAAAUCAUCACAACUUUCUUGGUAUUGGUGGUUAGGCAUUGGUAUUGUUAUGUAGAUGGAAGAGGGGAGGAAGCGCCAUCACCUGCCCCACAUAUUGAAGUGUAGUCUGAUAAAGGAUUCCGGGGGGCGUGGCCCUGUCCAAAGCCUAUGGAGGUGAUGGCAUAAGGCACUCCCCCUAGCAGUGACCCCCGGGGGAGUUCCUAGUUGAUGUGCAUCAGCAGAACUCCCCCUACUGGUGGUUAACGCUUCCCGGACUUCAAGUGGACGGCUGAAGCCAGAUAGUCAGUUAGGACCAAUGCCUAAGCCAAUACUGUUCAUCACCUGUAACCAAUAAAGUUGUGGCCUUAUUUAGCCCAUUAACCU
rnacentral:lncRNA from 1 species